GGUCUGUACUCCUCGACAGUGAUGAGGUCUUGGUGUACUACUAUGAUGACGUUAGAACCCUAUAUGAAGGUUUCCAGAGGGGCCUGCACAUGUCAAACAAUGGCCCUUGAUUAGGCUCUAGGAAACCAGACCAACCCUAUGAAUGGCUUUCCUACAAGCAGGUUGCAGAAUUGGCAGAGUACAUAGGCUCGGCACUGAUCCAGAAGGGUUUCAAGGCCUCCUCAGAUCAUUUCGUCAGCAUCUUCUCUCAAAAUAGACCUGAGGUAUUAACCACUAGGUGCUUACACUCUAUUUCUGAAUUGUGGAGGUAGAUAGGAACCAGAGUUCAUGCAGCUGUAUGCUUGAGACUAGAUUUUAUGGUCUGAGUUUCACUGAGAAAGGUUUUGUGUUAUGCUUUAGAAAGAUAUACAUAUGAGGGACUAGGCAUGGUGGCUCAUGCCAACUAAUACCACCUACUUGUGAAACAGAGGGAAGGAGGAUCAUAAUUCAAGUGCAGCAUGGGAAGGGAAAAAGGGAGGUAACCACACAUUACCUUACAGUCAAGCGAGGGACAAAUCUUGCUCUGCAGGAGACAGUGAUGGAGAAAGAUUGUUUCUAGGCCAACCUGGGUUAAAAAAACAAGUGAAGGGACAAAGGGUGAACAAAUGCAGCAGUUAUACUCACUAAACAUUAUAUUGAAAAUGAACUAUAAAACUUGUGGUUGGAGAUGGGAGAAAGCAAAG